rfam:Myotis lucifugus cont2.27402, whole genome shotgun sequence.
GGUGGUUCUUGGGUAAUGCACCCCAGAAUUGAGCUCCCUCCUCUCUGGUUCUGGGUGCGUCACCCGAAAACCACA